rnacentral:rRNA from 1 species
UACGGAGGGUGCAAGCGUUAUCCGGAUUUAUUGGGUUUAAAGGGUGCGUAGGUGGUUAAUUAAGUCAGUGGUUAAAUUUUAUAGCUUAACUAUGAGUGUGCCAUUGAUACUGAUUGACUAGAGUACUAUAUAGGUAGGCGGAAUUGGUGGUGUAGCGGUGAAAUGCUUAGAUACCACCAGGAACACCGAUUGCGAAGGCAGCUUGCUGGAUAGUAACUGACACUGAGGCACGAAAGCAUGGGUAGCAAACAGG